CAGUCUUUCUUGCUGGUCAAGGUGAACAUAACAGAUUUGUUCUUGGGUGGUCCUUUCAAUGUGGAGACCUCUCAGUUCCACAAUGGUGGUCAUUACUGACAAUCUACAUCUCUAAGUACUUUCCUUGGGAUUGAACCAUUAAUCUGCUCCAGCAACAGUGCCUGAAAGAGAUCAAGCAUUAUUAUUGAGGAAGCUUCUCUGAUGAUGGCUGAAUAUGGCACAGAUGUUUACCCAAGUGAUGUUGAAUUUGUGUCCCAUCUUCUGAAGUGAGCCUCAAGUCAACUCAGAUAUUGAUUCAUCUGUGUCAUAUUCUUCUACUGGACUCUUCUGCAUCAAGUAAUUUAAAAGCCCAAGGGACUAGGAUGUGGCUGAGCCAACAACCAGUUUCUGGGGAUGAAUUAGAUUGAAUUCAAUCCCUGCUAAAUAGCAAGUCUUCCUAAUGAGUUCUGCUGAGAACUUCUCCAGCAGCUACCAAGAUCAAAGUUUGAAAUAUAUCACCAUAUAAACUAGACAUCCACAAAACCCAAAAUUGUCUUGCCUACAAUAUGUGCAGGAAGAAAUAUGGAGCAGAGACUGAAGCAACAGCCAACCAAGGACUGUCCCAAUUCGAGACUCAUCCCAUAUAUUGUAGCACACUGGCUCACACAUGAUGACAUCUUCCUCUUCCCAGGAAGGCAAUACAUCAGCCUGGAAGAUCAUGGAAGGCAGGAGGUACUGCUGUGAGUGACGCAGAGACC